rnacentral:rRNA from 1 species
GGCGGCGGUGCUAUACAUGCAAGUCGAGCGGACAGAAGGGAGCUUGCUCCCGGAUGUUAGCGGCGGCCGGGUGAGUAACACGUGGGUAACCUGCCUGUAAGACUGGGAUAACUCCGGGAAACCGGAGCUAAUACCGGAUAGUUCCUUGAACCGCAUGGUUCAAGGAUGAAAGACGGUUUCGGCUGUCACUUACAGAUGGACCCGCGGCGCAUUAGCUAGUUGGUGAGGUAACGGCUCACCAAGGCGACGAUGCGUAGCCGACCUGAGAGGGUGAUCGGCCACACUGGGACUGAGACACGGCCCAGACUCCUACGGGAGGCAGCAGUAGGGAAUCUUCCGCAAUGGACGAAAGUCUGACGGAGCAACGCCGCGUGAGUGAUGAAGGUUUUCGGAUCGUAAAGCUCUGUUGUUAGGGAAGAACAAGUGCAAGAGUAACUGCUUGCACCUUGACGGUACCUAACCAGAAAGCCACGGCUAACUACGUGCCAGCAGCCGCGGUAAUACGUAGGUGGCAAGCGUUGUCCGGAAUUAUUGGGCGUAAAGGGCUCGCAGGCGGUUUCUUAAGUCUGAUGUGAAAGCCCCCGGCUCAACCGGGGAGGGUCAUUGGAAACUGGGAAACUUGAGUGCAGAAGAGGAGAGUGGAAUUCCACGUGUAGCGGUGAAAUGCGUAGAGAUGUGGAGGAACACCAGUGGCGAAGGCGACUCUCUGGUCUGUAACUGACGCUGAGGAGCGAAAGCUGACCAUGCC